rnacentral:rRNA from 1 species
ACGGGAGGCAGCAGUGGGGGAUAUUGCACAAUGGGGGAAACCCUGAUGCAGCGACGCCGCGUGAGUGAUGAAGUAUUUCGGUAUGUAAAGCUCUAUCAGCAGGAAAGAUAAUGACGGCACCUGACUAAGAAGCCCCGGCUAACUACGUGCCAGCAGCCGCGGUAAUACGUAGGGGGCAAGCGUUAUCCGGAUUUACUGGGUGUAAAGGGAGCGUAGACGGCAUGGCAAGUCUGAUGUGAAAACCCAGGGCUCAACCCUGGGACUGCAUUGGAAACUGUCAAGCUAGAGUGCAGGAGAGGUAAGUGGAAUUCCUAGUGUAGCGGUGAAACGCGUAGAUAUUAGGAGGAACACCAGUGGCGAAGGCGGCUUACUGGACUGUAACUGACGUUGAGGCUCGAAAGCGUGGGGAGCAAACAGGAUUAGAUACCCUGGUA